GAGACACUGCGCUGUACGCAGCACGGAACAGCCUGGCGGUAUGCUGACUGCAGAGCAGCAACACAAGAGGCUCAUUUGAAAACACAGACACCUGCGUGCGGCAAGGGGGAGGCGAGCGGAUGGAUGAUGCAAGGCACUUGGCUGCACCACGGUCGGGCUGCGCCCUUCGGCCGCGGCGAGGAGCACCUCCCAGCGCGGCCGGCAGCAGCCUGAUUCAUACCCAUACUGGCUUAAGAAUACUGAUAACCUGCAGUUAUUACAUGCCCAGAUUCAAGCAGGAGUUCCUGCUGCUCCCAAAGCUACAGACUUUCCCUAAAAUGAAAAUAAAAUCUAUGUUGCUGGAAUUGCCUAAGGACCUUUCUCUACAUUCAAAGAAUGUUUUUGAAAGCUAUGCUAGCACAUAAAGCCCAGUUCUGUACACAAUAAAAUAAAAGAUGAAAAUAUCCACCGCAUCAGGUGAAAGAGAAGGUAGAGAUGGAGAGAUCAGAAGGCUGCUCAAGGACAUCAGGCCUUCCAAAAAUCAAAUCGCUUUUCCCAACUGAGUCACGUUUUUCUUCACACUUCAUUUUACUUUCCAGCUCACUGAAGUAAUUUUGGUAGUCUCUGCGGUGCUUAACUUUUUCCUGCUUGCUACUGCAGUGGCUUCUGUGUUAAGUGCUUGAUGGCAACUGCAUUUAUAUGUGCUUCAGAAUUGAGCUCUUGUAUGGGUAUUUAUCAGCUGUAAAUGCCUGCUCAUGCAGAUCUGUGGUUGCAUACAGAAAGGUGAGUUUUACAGAAAGUCUAUCAAUCUGCUACAGCUGUUUGAAAGUCCAGACUCCCAUGCUAGUUAUUUCUGCCUUACCAAGAUUCAAUUUUUAGCAGCCAUAUCUAAGUUAAUUACUCUGGCAUAACACAUCAAGCACUUGCCCAUCCCUCUACCCUCCCCAUUUUUGAUGUGUAAGGUUACAUUUCCAAAUUAGCCUGACAAGUCUUGAGAUAUAAAGGAUCAUAAGUAAAAUUGCUAUGGCAAGAAACAACUCUGUAACUCAAACUCCUUAUGAUCCUUACUCAAGUCAGUCUCUGCUGACUUCUCAGGAACUUGGGCUGUUACAUCCGCCUGAAGAAAUUCUUAACAGAGAUAAGUUGUUUCUUUACUACUGAAAAGUACGAGUAGCUCUGAAAAUGUAGCAUUUCAGGAGAUAACUAUAGAUUAGAUGUUAGAUACAGCUUGCAUAAAUCUGCUGUAUCAGUACAACAAAAAGCUUAGGAGAGACCUUGUGCUGUCUUAUGCUGUAAACGGACAGAAAUGUUCGAAGUUAGUGUAUCCUUCACUGAGCCUGCUUAAUAAUGAAAAGGCUGCCAUAUGAGAUAAAGAAAUGAAUACAGACGACACAGUGAAGUCUGAAAACGGGGACAGAAAACUCUCCAGGCCAAAUGGAAAUCUACUGGGAUUCUGUAAAUGAAUCAGAGAAGUGUUCAUUCCCAUUUUUUUAAGAUGUAGUAUAUCAGUCUCCAUUAGAAAUUCUUCCCAAUCCCAAAUAAGGAUUAUCAAUUUCUAAUCACACAUUAAAAUGUUUACAAACAGAACCUCACAAUUUUUAUAACUACAGUCUCACACUUUGUUCCCAAUUAAACUUGUAUGUCACUACUGGAUGAGCCAAGCUUAAGUAAAAUAAAUGGUGAAGACUACAGAAAUCAUGUUUUGUCAUCUCCUGAGACCACUACGUCCCAUGUUUCUUCAAUCACACAAUAAUUUACACAGAAAAUGCAGACUUUCCAAAGCUUUUUUUUUUUUUUUUUCCCCCUAACCUGGCCAAGAAAUGCCAUGAGCUGAAAUCCACCUUUUUCUAAUGACAAUACCGUCAUCUACUAAAGAAUAAAUACAAACAAAUUUCAAAAACAGGAGUUAAUAAUGCAGCUGCUAUAAAUGUUUGAAAAAAAAUUCCAGAAGAAGGUAAAUGGUUUGUUCAAAAGAAGAUGCAUCACUGACAGAAUAAAGCACAGGACAACAUCACUGCAGGUCAGUGUUAACCAUUUGUAGAUUUUCCAAAAAUGAAGAGAUGUUCUUUCUGUCUACAGAUUUCUUCACUGUUGAUAAUUACAGAUCUGACUAGAAAAGAUUAACUAAAGAACUUCAGAAUGAAAUACUACAAACUGAAUUGUUUUACUGCCUCUGUCAUUUAGAGAUUUCAAUGUUGAAUGUCCACAUGGGAAAAGUAUGUGCUGUUUUACACUCUAUGUAAUGAUCACUUAAUAGACUAGUAAAAUUAUGUUAUCUAUAGAAAUAUCUACAGCAUCUUUCUGGCUCAGUGAUGUACUAAGGGAGUAAACCUCACUUUCUUCACAGUGCUAUCAAACGACGGUCCCAUUUUCA